CAGCUGUGCCCAAGCAAGAUGAUCUCAAAAAUUCUCCUCUUCUGGCUCCUGGGCUCCUGCAUUGAGGGUGCCCAGGGGCAGAUUGUGGUGACUCAGUCUCCAGAAUCUGUUGCUGUAUCUGUGGGAGAGACUGUCACUAUUCAAUGCAGAUCCAGCAGAAGCAUUGGCACAGAAAUGAGCUGGUACCAGCAGAAACCUGGACAGGCUCCCAAGCUCCUGAUCAACAGCGUCAGCCGUUACACUGGCAUCCCUGACCGGUUCAGCCCCAGUGGGUCUGGCACUGACUUCACUCUCACGAUCAGUGGGGUUGCAGCUGAGGAUGCUGGAGAUUAUUACUGUCAGCAAGAUUACGAUACGCCUCUCACAGUGAUACAACCCAGUACAAAAACCUCCCUGCUCUCUGAAGCAUGCCGUGUUGCGGUCCCGGGUACACAUAAGUGGCACAAGGGUUGA